rnacentral:rRNA from 1 species
GACGAACGCUGGCGGCGUGCUUAACACAUGCAAGUCGAACGGAGCGAAUGAAAGCUUGCUUUUAUGAGCUUAGUGGCAAACGGGUGAGUAACACGUAGGCAACCUGCCGACAGGAUGGGGACAACAUUCCGAAAGGAAUGCUAAUACCGAAUGAAGUCGAGGGAGGGCAUCCUCCUUCGAUGAAAGAUGGCCUCUAUUUAUAAGCUAUCACCUGUCGAUGGGCCUGCGUCUGAUUAGCUAGUUGGUGAGGUAACGGCUCACCAAGGCGACGAUCAGUAGCCGGUCUGAGAGGAUGAACGGCCACAUUGGGACUGAGACACGGCCCAGACUCCUACGGGAGGCAGCAGUGGGGAAUCUUCCGCAAUGGGCGCAAGCCUGACGGAGCAACGCCGCGUGAGUGAAGAAGGUCUUCGGAUCGUAAAGCUCUGUUGAUGGGGACGAACGUACGGAGUGCAAAUAGUGCUCUGUAAUGACGGACCUAUCGAGAAGCCC